AUGAAUAUCGCCCUAUUAGCUAAGUGGCUAUGGCGCAUUGAGUCCGGGGACGGGGGCCUAUGACUAGAGAUCAUCCGCACGAAAUACCUUCGUGGCCAACCCUUGGUGUGCGCCCCAAGGUCGGGGGGUUCCCAGUUCUAGCAAUCAAUAAUCCAGUUGCUCCUGGUUCUCCGCAUUGGAUCCUCAAUCUCUGUGGGUUCGGGGACUAACACCCUAUUUUGGUUGGAUCGGUGA
rnacentral:rRNA from 1 species